CAGCAGCCGCGGUAAUACGUAGGGUGCGAGCGUUAAUCGGAAUUACUGGGCGUAAAGCGUGCGCAGGCGGUUCGUUAAGACAGAUGUGAAAUCCCCGGGCUUAACCUGGGAACUGCAUUUGUGACUGGCGAGCUAGAGUAUGGCAGAGGGGGGUAGAAUUCCACGUGUAGCAGUGAAAUGCGUAGAGAUGUGGAGGAAUACCGAUGGCGAAGGCAGCCCCCUGGGCCAAUACUGACGCUCAUGCACGAAAGCGUGGGGAGCAAACAGGAUUAGAUACCCCAGUAGUCCCUGUCUCUUAUAC
rnacentral:rRNA from 1 species